rnacentral:lncRNA from 1 species
GUUUUCUCAGCUGUAAGGAAUGUGGUCCAUCCAGGCACUGCUACCAAGCAUGGCAGGCUGUCUCCCUUUUCCUCUCACACACUUGUGUUGCUACACCCGCAUCAGGAAUACUUAUUCCUGGGCAGUGUCUGGUAUUUUGCUAAUAUUUUGGCCCGGGUUUAGAUGAUACUUUAAAGGUAUUUCUCCAAGAGAAGCUGAACCUGCCAAUUUUUGCCCUUUCUCAGCCUUGUGGACCAUUCUUCAGCGCCAUGCAGACAUAGAGGUUCACACAAUUAUUUGUCCUGUCUGUGGCUCUUCCUACACAGCCUGUAUUGAGCCUGUGCUGGUGAUACAGAUGCAAAGGAGAAAGGACGUGCCUGUUGCUGGAAAAGGGAGCUCCUGCCUCUGAGGAUAUCCUCUGUACAUUUCUGCUUCAAUCAAUCCUUCAGAUAUUGCCCUAAAGAUUACUUGCCUUCUUUUGCUAUGCCAGGUGGUCUCCUAUUGACUGAAACACAGAACAGGGACACCUGUGAGAUCGCAUUUCUGAGGUGUGCUGAAUGCCAUUGAAGCUCAUUGACUCCUUGAAUCAUCACCUCAUGCAAACACACCUCAGAAGAUCAAAAAGCUGCAGGCUGUGAUCUUCCUGAGAGGAUCUGCAGAUGGCUGCCAUUUAUCUAGACAGAUGAACUCAUUAACAGGAGAAGGAGAAGCAGAGACACACGGACUGACAUUUCUACUGUGUGGUUUGAAUCUACAGUGUAAUGCCCAGGGUCUCUACUGCCCUUGGGAUGCUCAUCUGUGCAGUGGUUUCACAGUGUCAAAAAAUUCAAGAAGUACUUCAAAUUCUGAACAGGUAUAUUCAAACUUUUUCUGUGAUAAAAGGUAUAAAUGCUGAAGACAUCUGAAGUGACUUUUGGUGGGUUUCUACAAAAAUCAGAACAUUUUUGAACUCUUUAUC